ensembl:misc_RNA Metazoa_SRP Metazoan signal recognition particle RNA
GCCAGGUGCGGUGACGUGUGCCUGUAGUCCCAGCUACUCAGGAGGCUGAGGCUGGAGAUCACUUGAGCCCGGGAGUUCUGGGCUGUAGUGCGCUAUGCCGAUCGGGUAUCAGCACUAAGUUCGGCAUUAAUAUGGUGACCUCCUGGGAGCGGGGGACCACCAGGUUGCCCAAGGAGGGAUGAACCGGCCCAGGUUAGAAACGGAGCAGGUCAAAACUCCCGUGCUGAUCAGUAGUGGGAUCACGCCUGUGAAUAGCCACUGCACUCCAGCCUGGGAAACGUAGCGAAACACCUCUU